rfam:Bacillus circulans strain RIT379 contig1, whole genome shotgun sequence.
AAGUCCUUUAAAUCAAUCCUGUGAGGUUGAGAAGGUAACGGAUUCUAGCUAUUUUUAGUAAUAGCUAUCUUAGUAUACGUAUAUCCUCUCAUCCAAAAGGGUGAGAGGAUAUUUUUU